AAGGAAGGAAGGAAAAGCUGUCUUGAUAACUUGUUUUAGAAUGAAGGAGUAGAUAUCAGACACUGACUUGAGACACCAAGGCUGAUGAGCCCAGUGGAUCAAACGGAUGAACAGUUGCUAAACUUUGCUUGUAUCUUGCUUGGCAUCUAUCUCUUCCUGUCCUGCAGCAGCAGCACCCUGGUCCCUGUUAUUAUAAACUGCUCAGGCUAGUUUCCAGUUUUGUUUGGUUUUGGUUUUGGUUUUGGUUUUGCGGUUGCUUUGUCUUGUUUCGUUCGUGACUACUGUCACCCCAGCAAGUUCUGUUUUCUUGGUGAACCCUGAAACAGGCACCCAGGAAAAAAAAAUGUAAAGUCUGUUUGAAGGGACACCAGCUUUCAUCAUGAUCUCUGGAAGAGCUGGAAGGCUCUCCAAGUGGACUGAAGAUCACCCCGGAGGCUAGCGAUGGAGCUCAGGCUUUCCACUCAACAACUCCGUACAUGCCACGGUUCCUGGAGUGGUGCAAAGAGGAAAGAAAUGCAGAAACCAGCAGAAGGAAACAGGAAGUGAUGGGCUGAGCUCCCAGCCACCGUGUGAGAAAGGACAAGGCUCAAAAGCAACAGGGCCAAGCAUCCAUGGAGCCAAAAUAAAGUUAAUUCUCAAAAGCUGACUUCCUACAGUAGUCCGUCAGAAGGACCGGAAGUUGCUAACACAACCUCCACUGAGAGUCGUUGUGUGCUGUUUCUGUUCCCACCCAUCACUGGUUUUACCCAGUCCCACUCAACUCACAAAGUUCCAGUGAGAUGAGACUUACCAACACGUGAUAAAGGGCAUGUGACACCUUCCAGACAACAAGAUUUAAUGAGAUCCUAAACACCCAAAGACUUUGCCUGGGAGAGGAUCCAUAGUCCCACAUUGCUUUUAAAGGUACAGCAAUCAAACUCUCGAUUGAAUCCCACCCUCGAAGUGGAUUGAUUGGCGUGGCUGUCCAUAACACUGAAACAGCCGGCUAUUGUCUCAUUUCUCUCUGCCAGUUGCACCGCACUCUCAAAAAAAAAAA
rnacentral:sRNA from 1 species